GCCACAUUAAUGUAUUUUUAAGUGAUUUGUUUGUAAUACAUGAAUUUGUUUCUUACAGAUGUCAAAGUCUCAACCUCAUGCUGCCCUCCCCCAUCCUCCUAAACCUGUGGAUACAAAUGCAGAUUUCCUUAAUGUUCAAUGGUGCGUGUUCUUCUAAUGGCCGCCUUCCCACUGGAGGUUUUGAUCCACAGCAAUUUAAAAGGAGGACAGAUCAAAACGGACAUCGUCAAGA